UACGGAGGGAGCAAGCGUUACUCGGAAUUAUUGGGCGUAAAGGGCGCGUAGGCGAUUCGAUAAGUCUCAUGUGAAAUCCCAGGGCCUAACCCUGGAAUGGCAUGGGAUACUGUUGGAUUUGAGUUCCGGAGAGGAAGGCAGAAUUCCCGGUGUAGCGGUGAAAUGCGUAGAUAUCGUGAGGAAGACCAGUUGCGAAGGCGAAUCUCUGGGCAGUUCCUGACACUGAGGCACGAAGGCCAGGGGAGCAAACGGG
rnacentral:rRNA from 1 species